UACGUAGGGUGCAAGCGUUGUCCGGAAUUAUUGGGCGUAAAGAGCUCGUAGGCGGUCUGUCGCGUCUGCUGUGAAAACCUAGGGCUUAACUCUGGGCGUGCAGUGGGUACGGGCAGAUUAGAGUGCGGUAGGGGAGACUGGAAUUCCUGGUGUAGCGGUGAAAUGCGCAGAUAUCAGGAGGAACACCGGUGGCGAAGGCGGGUCUCUGGGCCGUAACUGACGCUGAGGUGCGAAAGCGUGGGGAGUAAACAGG
rnacentral:rRNA from 1 species